UCGAGGAUCUUCCGCAAUGGGCGCAAGCCUGACGGAGCGACGCCGCGUGUGGGAUGAAGGCCUUCGGGUUGUAAACCACUGUCACUCGUUAAGAAAGGGUCCGGCGUCAACAGCGUCGGGCACUGACGAAGGCGAGAGAGGAAGCCACGGCUAACUUCGUGCCAGCAGCCGCGGUAAGACGAAGGUGGCGAGCGUUGUUCGGAAUCACUGGGCAUAAAGCGCACGUAGGCGGUGCCGUAAGUCGGGUGUGAAAUCCCUCGGCCUAACCGAGGAACUGCGCCCGAUACUGCGGUGCUUGAGGACCAGAGGGGUGCAUGGAAUUUCCGGUGGAGCGGUGAAAUGCGUUGAUAUCGGAAGGAACUCCGGCGGCGAAAGCGAUGCACUGGCUGGUUUCUGACGCUGAGGUGCGAAAGCCAGGGGAGCAAACGGG
rnacentral:rRNA from 2 species